UCUGCCAAAAGUUUAUAUAUAAGUUACUAUUUCUGAAACUUGCUAAGCAUUAGAUGUUAUAAGACACAACAAUUUAAAAUCACUUAUAUUGAACUUCAUAACUUCUAUCAUCGUUGCACAAAAAAGUUCGAACAUACUUUCAAGGACUGUAUUCACCAAAAAGACUUUGUUCGCCAGGAGAAAAUGAUUUACCGAAAGAACUUGGUUUGCUAGAGCUUGGCAGAAAGGGUAUCAUGAUAAAAAGGAUAUGCAGUGACCUGUAAGUACGGUAAAAAAAUUAAUUAUCACUAACAAUAUAUUAUAUGUAUUGAUAUAAAUUAGUUUUUAUCACCUCAACAGUAGUUUCAUCAACUAUUCCUUUCACUACUCCCUCAACUGUUGCACCAGGAAUGUUAGAAAUAAUAAGGUUUAAGUUCCUAGUAAUUUUUCCCGUUUUA
rnacentral:lncRNA from 1 species